CCACCUCGCCCAGACAAGCCAAGCCCCCUCCCCUUCCGGAGAGACUGCUCCAACCCAAAGAGCCGAGGGAAAGAGCAUUGAAGAUGAAUCCAGGAGCUGUGGAAUAGGCUCAACUGCAUUGCAACACUCACCCCUAGAUACCAAGGCCUUCCUUCUCCACACAGCACACGGCAUCAUGUUAUUUCAGUCUGUUGAUUUCUUGAAUUUCCCAGAAUUACUGGACCAGAAGAUAGAAACACUUGGGUGGAAUUUCACCUCUUGCAGCUGCAACUGCUACUUCCCACAGAAUUUCCUUAUUAAACGGAGAAUUAGCAUGUGUUAAAGACAGAUUCACAUCUACUUGACUCUUUCUCUCUGAUGAAAAUAGAAAAAUUGAAAAAAAAAUUUUUAAGUGACAUCUUCGAAGAAAAAUGGGAACAACUGUUCAAAACACGGUGUGCC
ensembl:lncRNA